rnacentral:tRNA from 1 species
CGAAAUAGCUCAGCUGGUAGAGCAAUGCAUUCGUAAUGCAUAGGUCAUGGGUUCGAGUCCCAUUUCCG